rnacentral:tRNA from 142 species
GGGCGUUUAGCUCAGUGGUAGAGCGCCUGCCUUACAAGCAGGAUGCCGUAAGUUCGACCCUUACAACGCCCA